UCAGAUUGAUGAGGGGGAAAAACGAUUUAAUCCAUUUUAGAAUAACGCUGUAACGAAAUGCGGAAAAAGUCAUGGGGUCUGAAUACUUUCCAAAUGUACUGUAUGUCGGGUGUAUGGUUGACUUCUAGGCAUCUGACGUAUAGCAGACAUUAUCACUCACUGUCUGCGAUGUACACUUCACCAAGUCUUACACACUGGCGUGCAGAGAAUAUCUGCCUCGUUGCCACUGUCUCGUCAAUAGAGCUAUUUUACACUGUGACUGUUUCCACAAUAAGCUAAGAGGGGAUUGUAUGACGUUAUGUCAUAGGGAGGACAGCUGAACUCUUGCUCUGGUUUUUCUUAAAGUUUCGUAAUCAUACGCCUGGUGGUUGAGUCUUUGCCAAAAGGCAGAAAGUCUGCUCUGAAGUUUUUUCGGCCAGCAUCUGUUUGAGGUUUGCGGCGCAUGGGAUAGCUAUGGUAGAGAGCUCAUGGAGUGAUUAAAUUAAAGCGUUUACUCACACAAGACACACUAUGCCCUCCCUCUUUGUUUCAAAGAAGGCUGAAAACCUGGUUAGCGUAGCUACGUCGUUCAGGUUACCAUUUAGUUAGGCUGUUAUUUGUCUUGGAUAAGCCUUGUUUUGGGUUCUGUACAGUGUGAACUUACUCACUGACUCAUCAAGCCAGACCCUUUCUGUAGCCCCCCCCCCCCCCACACUAUCCAGAAGGUCACAGUUCAUUUAGCAUGGUUGCCUGAGUGGUUGCCGCCAGACAACAGAAGGAGAAAGGUCAAAGGUCAGCAUGGGGACACGUUUCUGAGGGGCGCUCCUUUAUUGGUGUGAUUAGAUUACCGCUCAGGAGGGGGAGGCAUCUCGUGUCAAACGCUGCCGUUAUUCAAGACCUUGGUGGUGAGUUACUGUCCAGCCGGACAAGGCAAGGGGCCUAGCACGGUCCCAGCACGGUCCCAGGAUGCCUGGGAUUUAUCGCUCUUUUCCUUCCUCUGAUGUUUAUCGUAUAUGACCACUCUCUUCGGAUCUUGAUAAAAACCAGUAGCCUUGUUGAAUCAGUUCAUAGUACUAUGUCCAUGUUAUCACAAAUCCAAUCCGGAUGGGACAAUCUAACUAAAAGACAGUUAUGGUAAUCAUCUUGAUUGAUGGUUGGUGUCUUGGCUCUUAGGGAGGGGGGUGUCAUUGCAUGAGCCUGACCCCCACUGGUCCCCAUCACCCUGUUUUAUACUCAGCCAAAGGGGUCAGAAAGGGGUCAAGUGCCCAGUCGUCAUAAAUGUCGCAAGACCUUGAGAUCAAAGUACCCAUCCACUGGUCCUCUACCUCGUAAUAGUGGAGGAAUCAUAGUGGUUGUGGGGGUACCAAAGGGAGUGAUGAUGCAAUCAACCAUGAGCCCAAAUAGAGUCCUGUCAGAUAGCAGUGCCUAGCAUCGUUAGGACAAGGUUUGGUGCAUCCACUCCUGACAGUUAAUGCCAACAACAGCUGUGGUACUGACAGUGUUUUAUAUUACUAUAAUGAUGAUGGUGAUUAUGAUUGUGGCUCAUUUGUUAGAUCAAAUGACGGGGUGGAUAUCCCACUCAGUGGGUAUCUCUUUGUAAAUCCACACCCAGAGUUCAGGAGGGCUUCUGUGGAUUGUCAGUCCCUGGUGGUUAAGAUUAUCCCUCGGCGAGAUCCCCGUUGCACAUUGUAAACACUACUAAUUUGUCCCCCACAGCAUAUUGUGUGGCAUUUAGGGGCCCUAUAAAGCGAUGAUAUACUGUACUGCACACAGACUGCUCCAAUGGGGGUUCACUAGCACACAUAAAGGUAAAGAUUGAGGCUAAAAUAGGCUAUCUAUCCUUCAACUUCUCCAACAUCCAGCAUCAUUCCCCCCUCUCUUGCUACCUGGUCUGGAAUUAGUCAACAGGAAUCGGAUGGAUUAUGAAUGAAAUAUUUUUUUAAAUGCAGUUCAAGCUGCCAUUAGCACAAAAAAAGCUGCCCUGAGCUUAUUUCUCAAAUAAGCUAUUUCACUGAUCCCUUUCUCCCCUCUUCCCCCAACACAGUGUCAGUUCCCCUCUGUCCAAUUACAACAUGCAGUAGUACAGCUUGAUUUGCAGCCUCUUUCAACACUAACCAAAACAUGACGUCAUUUGUGAACACUUCCUGCCAGGAAGGUAGAAAAUAAUAAAAACGUGCAUUUGGCAGGAAAAUAUGUGAUCCGUUUCUCUACAACGGCAGCUUUCCCUUCCUCAUGUUGCUCUCCUUCUGGUCAGAACAGCAGCUCUUACCGGCAGCUGACAAAGGGCAGCUGACAAAGGUCUCUCUCGCACUCGGGAGAACAGGAGAAUACCACUCCGCUUGCCCUGUGUUACAGCGAGCCAUGCAUAUUGCAUAGACUCCUUUCUCUCAGAAUCCCUUAGAAUUGUACAGAGGGAAUACAGAUGAACAUGGGAAUGAGAUGUAUUGUACACAUCCUAAGAAUAGAAUCGCUUAAUGUGGUCUGGCACUUACUAAAUCUUUAAUGCGCCAUUGUUUCACGCUCUAAAAUGAAGUUUCAUACGCGCAUGUGCACACACACACACACACACACACACACACACACACACACACACACACACACACACACACCGAAGUUCCUUUUUUAAAUGCGUUCUGUAGUUAAUCCGUUGGCGCAACCCUGACUUCAAAAUACAUGUUUUGAUGAAGCGUAAACAUCUUUUGGUGACUGUAUUCAUAUUCUCUGACACUAACCCUUUUUUUUCUGACUUUCUCUCCUAUUUGGUUUGCUCGCUGGCUGCUUCCUGCCUUGUGGUGUAACACCUACUACCUCGGGUCAAGGAAUGCCCCACGGGAAACAGUGUCCCAUUCCACUUCGGUGGCACUGCCUUUUGACCAUAUGGGCCCCAAAUAAGGCGAACAUGUGACAGCAAGCACCACCGAGGCCUUGAAUGAACUGGUGCUCUUUGAUGUGGAGAAGGGGACACUGGAAGAAGACAAAUUACUUGUGUGGAGGGAAGGAGGCACAAUCAGAAAGAAACCAGGGCUGACAACAGGAGAAGAAAGUGUAGGCUGAGGAAAUGGUGAAGUGGACAGGGAAUAAGCACAAAGAUGUAGAAGCAGGAUGACAACGGCAUUGCUCAAUUUUACUUUUCAAUUUCAAUUUGUUUUCGUGACAAAGAUGAAAGCAUAUUGGCAAAGCCAAGCUAUUCUUCAUAUCUUCCGGUCAGUGUCCUCUUUUAUACUUAUCCUAGCAUCUCUCUGAGGUUUUUGAGUUGCCUUCAUGGCCAGGUAUUUCUAAAUAGAUAUUCUAUAUUUCAGGAUAACAUCCUUUUUUUAAAACUCUUGGUUAAAAAAUACAAGCUAAAUAAGGUUGAAACUAUUUAUCGAAGUUGUGCCUCAAGGAAUGGAUCUGAAAACACUGCCACGUUGUCUUAUCAGGGAAAACACAUUUAAAGGUUAAUCACCCAUCAGUGUGUCUUCUCUCAUAAAAAGUUACCUCACUGUUAAAUGUAUCAAAGCAGUUGAAAGGGAUGAAAUGUCAAGAAGUGGAUGGGACAGUAAUUUUUUUAAUUUGAGACUGAAGUGUCGCUUUCAUGUGUUUAAUAGAUCUUUGGUGUGCUGAUAAGAAAUACACUACAUGACCAAAAGUAUGUGGACACCUGCUCGUCAUCUCUCAAACAUCUCAUUCCAAAAUCAUGGGCAUUAAUAUGGAGUUGGUCCCCCUUUGUUGCUAUAACAGUCUAGAACACUCUUCAGUAAGGCCAUUCUACUGCCAUUGUUUGUCUAUGGAGAUUGCAUGGUUGUGUGCUCGAUUUUAUACACCUGUCAGCAACGGGUGUGGCUGCUAUAGCCGAAUCCACUAAUUUGAAGGGGUGUCCACAUACUUUUAUUUAUAUGUAUAUAUUAGUGUUUCCUCUUGGUCCGUACCUCAGUGGUGUCAAGCUGUAGUUGGCCUAUACCAUGUUUCUUUUUAGACAUGCUUAUUUUUGCCAGUGAGAGAUUCAUGCCACUGACCCUAUGGCUGUUCUAGCAUUGGGAACAUGGUAUUAUGGACAACCAUUGCUGCUCCCAGAUAUCAUAAGGAAUAGAUGUCGUGACCACUGUGGUAACAUUCUGUAUGGUAAAUUCACCUUUCUCCAAUCUCUCGGGACUGCUGAUGCCUUUUUAAGCUGUUUUACAUGUCAUAAGGAGCAUGUAUCUAUUGGAAAACCACCCUUAUCCAUAUGUGAGAUUAGGCCUAUACUCUUGUCAUGAGCCAACGGGUAAUAACCCUUUGAACGAAUUGUUCAAUAUAGAGGAAAUGUGAGGGGGAAAGGAAAAACCAAAUUUGAUAAUAUUAAGGGGUUUAUGUGUGAGUAUUGUGUGUUUUGUGUUGUCUCUCCUUUGUGUUUUGUUUUUACUUCUGAGUUUUCCUUUAGCUCCAGCUUUGACUCAAGGGUUUUGUUUACAGAGACAUGUUGAAAGGUCGUGCCCUUUCGGUGACCCCCGGAGGAAGUUUGCGACCCUCUGGCAUUUGUGUUGUGACGCGUCACUGAGGCCAGAACCUAGCUGGCUCUGAGCGUUUGUGUUUCGCCUGAACAUUUACGUGUGAAUUCUCUCAGCAGUGACCUUCCCACAGACUCUUGAAUGCGUUGUGAUUAGGAGGAUGGGUCCUGACAGUGGAAAUCAACACCAGCUAUCGCCAUACAAGCAGAAUUAUGGUGGUACGUUUUGCAAGCCAGUUUUUUGCAGUGUCAGGUAGAGCUUGGCUAUAUGGACAAAAAUCCAUAUUGCAAUGAAUUGAUGCGACAAUGAUAAAUGGUAGGUUAAGUUUAACAUUAAUGUGCACCACAUGUUUUUAUGUAUUAUCUUUUAUACUACUACUACUACUACUAGUGUGAUGGUUGUAGCUAUUAAUUGUCCCAUUAACAAUCACCUAUAUUAGCAAACUUAUUUCAUUUCUCUAGUAUAGGCUAUUUAUCGUAAUGAAGGAUAUCAGCGAAAUUCCUGCUGUUAGUGAUCGGUAUGGUCGUGUCGAUCAUGUUCGGUUUAUCGUCCCAGCUUUAUUGUCGAGUGACACAUCUCUAAGCUCACUGCUCAGCCCAUGAAAGGUGGGUGAUCAGACCUGGGUGUUAUAGAUGCUUAACUUCAUACAAAGGUGUAUGUAUUGCAUGGAAAAUCCAUUGCCCCUCUCUCCUUUAUGUAAAUUGAGAUAAAGAGAGAACAUUUUGCCACCGUUUUAAUGACCAUCAUGCAUCACUUUAACUCCACAGGAUGAGUCACAGUGUGUAGGAGUGUUGAUGAGAGGUAAGAGAAGCUACUGAUCCUGUUUCCAACUUGACACCCUGCCCUUUAAAACAGAGAUGGGUCUACAUUUAAACAAAGAUAUCUUGAGAUGAGUAGAAAAGCCAACUUUCAGUAUAAGGUCUGGCAUGUAUUAAGCACUUAUUCUUUAGACAUGCUUAGUCAGUCGACACAUCCCCAAACCUUAGAAUAGACCCCCUGCCCCACAAUCCCACCCACUCCUUAGUUCAUCCCACCGUUCCCCAUGGUCCCAUCACUCCCUUGUGGGCAUGUCUUGAGACAUAAUGUGGAGAGCAGAGCAAGAACUCUUUGAGUAAGAGCUGUCUGUGCAUAAUACAUGUCCCCAGCACCUCCAGAAUGGAUGAAAUAUUCAGCGGUUUCAGGGGAUGAAAAAAUGAUGAGCCGAGUUGGAAGGAAUCCCACUAAUUUCAAACUAGUCAGCUCCUUCUCCCACUUUGUAGCCUAGAUAAGAGAGAAUGCCCUAUAACCGGGAAUGGAGGCCAGCAACAUUUCUGUUGUUUACAACCAGUUUGAAAAGAUUACUUCCUGACCCCCUUUUCUCUCGAUGGACUGGAGAACACCUGGAUGGAACUGAUUUGUAAUUUCUUUUUCAUUCCAUUUUGUUUGGUCUGUUGUCCUGAAAUUGACUUCUUUGUUCCCGGUUCAAACCAGCUGUGAUAUUGUUGUGCGCUUCCCCAGCGUAGCAGACAGACACCAGCUAGGAUCACACUGAUUUGUGUUCUACUUUUUACCUUGUACUGUGAGCCGUUAUCAACUAAACCCACUGCGUAAGCUCCCGCGUUAUAGUCUGCCAAAAUCAACAACAUGAAUAAUGAUAAAAGAAGCCGCGCCAUCUUGCAGGACAAUGCUCCGUCUCUACAGUCUUAUGAAAGUGAAACUUGUCUGAAUCAGACUCUCUCUUAUGUGUGCGUGGGGGUUGGCAAGAAGGCUAUGACGAGAGGGAAUGUGAAUACAUUUCACAGAUAUCGGCAUGCCCCAUAAUCUAAUAACCCCUCCUUGCAGGUGCAAGCGUUAGGCACAGUUCCCAGCCUGCACCUGCCUAAGCCAACCCUGAAUAAGCAUGUUUUUUUACAAGUAUUUUGUGGUUUUUGUGGGCAGUUGCGUCUCUUGGACCAAGAUCCACCUGCAUCCAACGGGGAUCCAUUCCAUGGUGCUUUGAUUCCUUCAUCAGUGAUUCACGGCAGAAUUAUUAUGCACCAAUUAUGUUUAAGCAAAAUUAUUCAAGGUGCAUAUGGCCUUGACGGUAAACCUUGUCUAUUAGUGUAGUGGCCAAGUCAGGCAGAAGGCGCUGAGGAAUGAUAGCGAGAUGGAGAUUGAGAGGCUGAGGCUACCGAGGAGGGUGGUUAUGCUUGUAAAGGCCCUUAUUAGCUAGUGGGAUUUAGCUUAUGUCUCUUCGCAAGUUAAAGGAGAACAGGAGAAGGGGUCAUCGGGGAGCGGCUAUUAGAGCUCGGUUCAGGCCCUCUUCGUCUCAGAGGUUAAUCUCAGCGGAGCGGUGCGCUUCUCUGCCCUGUAUUUACAAUAAUGGAGAUUAGCUCUUCGCUACGGUUCCGCCGGGUCUCGGCUAAUAUCUUUCUGCAUGCACUCAUUUGUUUAUUCCUUCGCACUUUGAGACCUCUCCAAUAUAAAAGGUGAAGCAGGAGCGCUUGAGACGUCAGCUGUUUUUUUUGGGGGCUUCACUGAAGGAGCGUAGCAGAAGGAUAGUGCUAGAAAAGGCUAUGGCCUUGAACAUGCCUUACAUGAAAACGGUACAUGAAUAGGUGAAUAUAUUACCACAGAACUAAAGGCUGACUAACAGAUGGAGCCAAUACAGACACGAGACAUUUUACAUUAACAUUUUAGUCAUUUAGCAGACGCUCUUAUCCAGAGCGACUUACAGUAGUGAAUGCAUAAAUCUUUUUCUCCUUACUGGUCCCCCGUGGGAAUCGAACCCACAACCCUGGUGUUGCAAACACCAUGCUCUACCAACUAAGCCACACGGGACGGGUAAACACUUGUUCUUUCGCAGACAAAGGUGGACACAGGGAGAAAUCUAAAUGAUGGCCAUCGUGGCUAAAUUGAACAGGAAAAUUGAUGAGAAAGACACACAAGUACCAGGUUUAGGGAAAUCCAAACAAAGCAUAGGUUACAAACGCGGGUGUCAUGUCCAGGACAAAAGAUACAUGGCAGGCUGGAUGUCUCCUAAUGAUUAUGGAGGUAUAAUUUGAUUUGACGUUCGCUCAACCUGUCCUUUUCACUCUCUCUCUCUGUCCUUCUUUUUUUAAAUGGUCGGUUACGGAUGCCAGACAUAACUCCCGAUCUUAAAGGGGCAACAGUAGGCUACUACUAUCUACAAAAAUGUGAUCUUCAAAUGUAGUUUAUUUGAUUAACUGGUUUAGACCUAGAAAUGUAUGGGCUUAAUAUGUGCCGGGGAGAGAUGAAAACAGACCCAAAGACAUUAGUGUUGUCACCAUACCAGAACUUUGACUUCGGUACCAGGUUUAGUGUCCCGAUACUCGAUACUAUCCCAAUACUCGAUUCCAAAAUGAUACCAUAACAAAAAAAGAAGGCAUAUUAACCAAAGUCACAGAAUGGCACUUGAUCCACAGAUAAAUUCAGCUACUGCUCAGUUCAGUCGUUGGGCAUCUUUUGAGUUCAAUGUCAUUACAUUUGAAUAUUUUAAUUGAAUAUUUUUUUAGAGACAGCCAUGUAUGCAUUGGCAAGUCAGUUAAGAACAAAUUCUUGUUUUACAAUGACGGCCUACACCGGCCAAACCCUCCCUUAACCCGGACGACGCUGGGCCAAUUGUGCGCCUCCCUAUGGAACUCCAGAUUACGACCGGUUGUGAUACAGCCCGGGAUCGAACCAGGGUCUGCGUCCAAUUAUACAAAUACAAUCAAUUUGACUUUGUUUUUACCAAUCUAAAUACAAAACAACAAAAUGGUAAUAAUUUAUUUGAAAGGUAAAUCUAUAUUGAUAAGCUGGGUAAAUCAAGAUGUAGCUAGCCUAGGUCUAAUCACAAUUCAGGUGAACGCAUAUUAUUCACUAAGAGUGUGUGCAUGCAUUGCGUUAUUGAGCUUGUUUUAGCUGAUUUCAUGGCGCUACAGAUUAAACAAUCCCUUCCAUUUAGGACUUAUUUUAUUGACAACUGCUAGGAUAACAUUUUAUUGUACUGAUCAACAGCAUUUUCUUUGGAAGAAGCAAUCUCUUCUUUUAUAAAAGUGUGUUCUCUCUUUAAGAAAGCAAAUGAUGUAGUUUUCAAGGCAGAAUGUGGCUAUGGAAUCUAGUGAAACCAGACAGGAGACAAAAAAAUGAGGGAGACAAAGUGAAUUAAUAAAGUUUUUGGUGACAA